AGAGUUUGAUCAUGGCUCAGGAUGAACGCUGGCGGCGCGCCUAACACAUGCAAGUCGAACGGCACCCCUCUCCGGAGGGAAGCGAGUGGCGAACGGCUGAGUAACACGUGGAGAACCUGCCCCCUCCCCCGGGAUAGCCGCCCGAAAGGACGGGUAAUACCGGAUACCCCGGGGUGCCGCAUGGCACCCCGGCUAAAGCCCCGACGGGAGGGGAUGGCUCCGCGGCCCAUCAGGUAGACGGCGGGGUGACGGCCCACCGUGCCGACAACGGGUAGCCGGGUUGAGAGACCGACCGGCCAGAUUGGGACUGAGACACGGCCCAGACUCCUACGGGAGGCA
rnacentral:rRNA from 1 species